UACAGGCAUGAGCCAUUGUGCCUGGCCCAAGAUUUAUUUUUAAAAAAGAAGUCAUAUUUGAAUCCGGCACUGCUAAAAAAUGUAAUAGUUAUCUGGAAGUCAUAAGCUGUAUGAGAGGUUUCUUUAUGAAUUUAUUCGGUUCAAACUGAUAGUUAAAACAUAAUUUGGACAUAAAGAUAAACAUUUUUUAAAUGACUGGAUGUGGCCCAAAUAUGUCAUGUUAAGACAUGUAGAUUUAGGAUCCCACAGUAAUAACAUCAGACCCAUUUAGUGGGAACAGAAAGAAGCUUUUGGUCAUGCAAUAGUUAGCUGAGAUUGUGGAUAGGGAUGAGAAAAAGGAAAUGGUUAUGUUGCAAAGGAAUGGGAAGUAACGUAUGAGGUGUAUGCCAAACUUGGUUAUCUUUCUUGAUGCCCAUUACUGCCCAAAGAAGUAUGUGGUAGCAUCUCUACUCUUGAGAAGGGGGAACUGUACAUUAAAAUCAUUAGUAACUUGCUCAAAGUUAUAACAUUUCGGUGACAGAAAUGGUAUUAGAAUUCUUAUCCACCUCAAGGCCCAUGUUCUUUCCAUUCCACCAUGUUGCCAUGUGGACUCUGCCAUAGACCUGGUACCUAAGCCUUGUGUGGUUCAGGUCUCCUUGUCCCAGUUUUAUACCAAACCUUAAUUGUUUUUCUGCAGAGAACUUUUAUAAAAAGCUUCUCAUAGGACUUUAUGAGAUACCAUAGGUGGUAAGUAUGUGACUUAUCCUCAGGAGUAAAUAGUUUAAAUUCCUGGAUUGUCUAAAGUUCCAUUUACCUGGGCCUAACCAUCUGUGGUGAGGUCAUUAUAAAUGUGCUGGCAAACUCUUUCCAUUAGUGGUUCUUGCAUACAGUAUGCACUUCUUAUGUUGUUGGACUCUUUGUGUUGUUGUUCAGAAUUUACCUUAGGGGUUUUCUCAAACUCUGCAUUCUUACUCUAUAGUGGUUUUUGGCUUUCUUUUUUCUCUCCAAGCUGGGUGGAUGAUGCAGUUUCGCCUCUAGGUGUUAGGAUUCUCUUUCACACUGGUUUGUCAUGACCUUAAAGUAUUUUAAGAUGUUCCUUUUGUAAUUUUUUUUUUUAAUGUCGCGUCCUACUAAGCUAGAGAUUUGUUUUACCAAAUGAGUUUAAAAUACCAGCAGCUGGAGACUCCACAGCAUUGUCUGAGUUGACCAAAUAUAAAAACCCACCAGGUAGACAGCUUUUUAUUUUCUUGAUUUUGGUAGAGUUUUUUGGUUCCAGACCUGAAGGCUUGUUAUGCUUCUGAAUUGGCCUCUAGGUUGUAAGAGUUGCUUAAUGUGGCAUAUGAUACCAGAGAUGGAAAAAUGUUUAUGAUAACUAUAAUCAUCUUAUUAUAAAUUGCCAUCAUACUCUCUCCUGUCAGAUAAUUGAUGAGGCUUAAACGUUGUUCUGAGCUGCAACCACCCACAAAAACCACACACACGGCGUUUUACUCAAAACUUUACUUCAACCACUACUUUGUGAUGCAAAACUAGUGGAAUUUUGGGUACUUUCUGUAAAAUUGAAAUCUUUAUGGGGGUUUUCCAACAUUCUAGUUGAUUGUUAAAUUAUUAGUGUAAGGAACAAGACCAAGGCAGAGUUUGCCGAUGAACAUUGACUUCUGUGGUAGGAGAGGACACCAGUGUGCACCUGCAUAUUCUCCCUAGGAAGAAGCCACCUUGAUUGGGCCGAGGAUGGAUUCUCCCUUUGAAAAAUGCAGUUAUAUAAGAACUAUAUACACGAGAUUUGUAGUUGUGAAAGAUAAAGACUUUAGGAGCUCACUCGCUGCUUAUCUUUGCCACAAAGUUUUCGGUCUUGACAAAAUAUUCAGAGUCAAUACUUUCUAAUGUGUAGAUCCAUCAUCUCAUGAAAGAGAUUUGAAAAGAAAAAACAAAUCAAUCUGUACUGUUCCACAUGUAGGACCAAAUAAAGUUCUGCAUGAGCGCUUUGUGUAAACGCAGAACUGUUAUGGGAAACUCGUUACUGAUAUCCCCAUUCUGGAAGGGAGAUAGCAAGUGGGAAGAGCUCUCUGUAUUUUGCUUAGUCAGGAGAUCUUUGUUUAUUCUGGAGCUGAGUCCUUGGGCAAGUUACUUUACUUCUUUAGGGCUCAAUUUCUUAUCUUAUUUAAAAUAAGUUUCACUUCUGCUAUAUAGUGUCUCAAGAGCCUUCAAUAAGGGUCCUUUGUUAUUAUAUUCUGUCUUAUGUAAAGGUGACUUUUACUGUCAUAUAAUUUGUCUUCUAACAAACACGUAUGUUACCAAAAUCUGUUAAAAAAAAAAUUAUUUUGGCAAAAACCCAACUCUACUUCUCUAAGUAUGUAGUUAUGCUCCUAAUAGUUUUGAAGGAGCACAUUUCCCUCCAUGCUGCUCAAAAGUCAGUCUAAGGUUCUCAUUGUCAGCCUUAAAAUAACUUUCAGAAACUUUCGGGCCGCUGCCCAUUAACGCUUUAUCCAAGCCGUCUAUAGUAGAAGUAUACAGAGAUCUACAAUUGAGUUUUUAACAGGUUAUUUCCUUAAUUUACUCUGGAUAUCUUAAUAAUUUCCCACUAGUACAUGGCAUGUCAGUGCAGAACUUUCCAGUGAACUGGAUGGGACUUGGGAGCCAAACAGCUUUGUGUAGUUUGCUGCUGCAAAGAUUGAGUUGUUGAUUAGCAUCCAUAGAUGAAGUAUGCUUGCUUUAUAAUUUAUAUUAGGAAGUACUCAGUGAAACACAGUGAAAGAGCACGUUUUACAGGAGCAAAGUCAAGCAAUCCAUUUCCAGAAAGUACAACCAAAAAAAAAAAAAAAUUGGCUGAAUGAAGAACAAUGAAUUAGGAAUAUGAACUUGAAAGCAAACUAAGUGAAUAGUAUCAAAUUUUUAAAGAAUGAGAUUAAAGUCAUAUUUUGUAUGUUGGGGGCAGGGUAAAUACAGAUAAAUACAGCUCUAGGAGAAAACUGAACAGGAUGGAAUAUCAUUUAGACUUUUAGGACGACAACAGAGUGGAAGCUUUAUUUGUAGAGAGAAACAGGGUAAUCACUACACAAUUUUAGGGGCGUGGAAAGGGUAAGAUCCCAUAAAUGUUAGAAAAGUGGAAUGGAAUUUCCCAGACCUUUUAACAAAUGGAUUAGUUAGGGAAAUCUGCAAAUGCUUGAAACUUGAAUUGGUGCUACAGCAAACUUUUAAUAUUAAAUAAAAUGGUUUCAUUAAAUAACAUUGGCUUUCUCGCAUAUUGGCGUACUUUCACCCUGAUAACACUAAUUCUUCAUAUGGGUAGGUAACUUUGAAGGUGACUUGGACCUUGAUCUUAAAAUAGCGGUGUCGGAAAGUCACAAUGUGAAGGAAGCAGGCAGAAUUACAAUUACACAUCAAAGGCCACCGGAGUUUUAACUUCAAAUUGCAUGUUUCAAUUGUACAAGCUUUAGUGUUCACACCCAAACUGCAAGGGUAGGAUCUACUACAUGGAGGGUGGAGUGGCAUUCCAAUUUCAUUUAUUUUCUGCUGAAGCUGGCACACUGAAUGAAGAUUUAUAUCUUAAGUGACAGGAUUCAAACGGAACAUGACAAACCUGUAAAAGCUGCAACUUGGCAUGUCAAUGCAGAACUUUCCAAUGAACUGGAUGGGACUUGGGAGACAAACCACACACACUGCCACAUUGCGCUGGGCAGUGUGAGAGAUCAAAGAGAAAGCCCAGGGGAAAAGCAAGUCCUUGCUAGCUAACGCGUGCGUUGUGGGGGUUAGCAUAGAUUGCCAUUUUGCUUACAGAUAAAAGUAGGUAUCUCUCUUAGGCUUGCCUUACGAUGGAAAAAUUUUGUGGAGACAGGUUGCACUGACUGGAAAAAAUUAAUUUGUUUUUAAGUUAUCAAAUUUAUAAAGUAGAAGCAUUAAUUACAAAACUAGCCAUUUAACUGGAAUUUAAUCCUGACCCAGUUCCCAACAUUGGGUGGUAUUAUUUACCAAAGCAGAGAGAAAAUAAGUGUCAAAAAAAGCAGCCAGAGCAAGCACUGAUUUGAGGAGGGAACAGGUUUUACUACGUUUGGACAGGCGAGGUGGCUCUGUAAAAACAUUUUACACACUGCUGAAGGACCCUGACCACUGGGCAUGAACUAAAACAAAUUUCAGCUGUUCCCGAUACUUCCACAUUGCAUACAGCAAAUGAAAGAUCCCCCAGUGAAAGCAGAAGAGACAAAAGAUUUAGUAGGAUGCUCCCAACAGCCUGGCUGGCAGUCACUGAUCCCGAAGAAUGAAUGAAUGUUGUACUAAAUACUCCCCAAUGUUUGUUCUAAUAAUUCUCCUCAGAGUUGUCAUAACAACAAGUUUGUUUUUUAAUAAUCAGGUAAACAUUUUCUGAAUUAACCUGGUAAUCAAACCGAUUGUACUUCAAACUGAUCCUAAAGAAAGUAUAUAAUUGGAAUAGCAGUUAAGUCACAAAUGCCAAAUGAAAGCCACCAGCCAGUCACUGUAUAUUCUGCAUCAUUUAUUAAAUAUUUUUAUAUAUGCAUUUACAAACUUUACUCAUUUCAGAACUCUGCUUUCAAUGCAUUUUUAAACUUUUUUUUUGCAGAGAGAUUCUCUUGUAAAAUGAGAUCCAUGUACAAAACUAGGCAACAGAUAUAAAAGUUUCCUUUCAUACUUUUCAUCCAUCAAGAAAAGAAAUCAUGUGACAAAUAAAAUGUGGCUCUUUCAGAAGAAUAAUAUGUCUGUGUUCAACUAUGACUUCUAAUGAGAUAGUUCGUAUUUCAUCUUUAUAUGGAUGUAUAUAGUUUUAAUACUUCUUAGCUACUGUAGCAUGUUGGUUCAAAUGAAGAAAAAAAUAAACUAUUGUUUGGACUAGA